rnacentral:tRNA from 1 species
GUUCUUAUAAUUCAAUUGGCAGAAUAUCUUAUUGUGAUUAAGAAUAUCUAAGUUCAAAUCUUAGUAAGAACC